CCUACGGGUGGCAGCAGUGGGGAAUUUUGUGCAAUGCUCGUAAGAGUGACGCAGCGACGCCGCGUGAAUGACGAAGGCCUUCGGGUCGUAAAGUUCUUUCGACAGGGAAGAAAAUGCCUAUAAGUAACUGUGUAUGUAUUGACGGUACCUGUAUAAGCAGCCCCGGCUCACUCCGUGACAGCCGCCGCGGGAAUACGGAGGAGGCGAGCGUUGUUCGGAUUGACUGGGAGUAAAGAGCACGUAGACGGUGUUGUAAGUCAUUAGUCAACGACUAGAGCUCAACUUUAGUAAGGCUAGUGAUACUAUAAUACUAGAGUACAAGAGAGGAUUGCAGAAUUCCUGGUGUAGCGGUGAAAUGCGUAGAUAUCAGGAGGAAUACCGGUAGCGAAGGCGGCAAUCUGGCUGGAAACUGACGCUGAGGUGCGAAAGCGUGGGUAGCAAACAGGAUUAGAUACCCGGGUAGUC
rnacentral:rRNA from 1 species